UCUAGUAAAAAUAAAAACCCUUGCAUGAGUAGGUGUCCAAACGUUUGACUGAUACUGUGUAUGUGUGUAUGUAAACAUGCGAGAGCUGGAUCUCAUCAAUACCUGUGUCUUGUUGAUGAAUAUUUCAGAAAAAUGCACGCAAACAGAAGUCAGCAAAGAUAGAACAGAUGUCUAGGAAAAAAAAAACUCUGGUGCUGACAGAGAGGAAGAGGUUCCCAUAGUAACGCAAAGGAAAAAGGCUAAACUGGAGGUCUGUACCCUGCCGCCUCCCUAAGUUUGUUUAAUUCACUGCUUUAGCACACUGCCAACCUGGAUGUCCUAGCCGUGUCUGAAUCCUGGCUUAGGAAGACCACCAAAAACUCUGAAAUCUCCAUCCCUAACUACAACAUUUUCAGACAAGAUAGAACGGCCAAAGGGUGCGGUGUUGCAAUCUACUGCAGAGAGAGCCUGCAGAGUUCUGUCCUACUAUCCAGAAGCCGACCAAGAAGGGACUUGUGAAGGUAACCAAACCAACAGGAGGAAAGAAAGGUAUAAAAUAAAUAAUGACCAAGAAGGCUGCAAAAAUACCCUCACAAAAUAUGAAAAGAAAAGUUUGUCAACUCAAUGGAACACAGCUCUCCUUUCUCUCCUCAUUACUAUCUGUGUAUUACUCCCCCUUUCUCUAAAUGGAACUCUGACUUCAUCAUACUUAUAUGAAGGACUGGUUCUAAAUGUAUAUAAACUGUCAACGUUAAUUGAUCCAAGGACAAACUCAAAUGUGUUGCAAAUCUUUGUCUGCCCCAUAAAAGGGUCUUGUUCAAAAUCGUCUUUUGUCUAACUUGUAAAUUAAAAUAUUACCACAAAGUA